rnacentral:misc_RNA from 1 species
CUGCACGGCCGCGUCGUGAGCGGCGGCUGGAACAAGGACAAGCUGGCGCAGCGGCCGCGGUGGGACGGGAACGGAGCGCGAGGAAGCGUCGGCUGUGGCGGCGGUGCGCUGGAGCAGGUGCUGGGCGUGCUCUGCUGCGACGGCGAAAUAUUCCAGGCCGCCCGCGGCCAGCGCCCCGCUCCGCGAUGUUUUCUGGCUCCGUUUCCUCGACAAGAAGAGCGGAGCAGGUCAAGCAGCAGCAAGUACGUGAGGACUACUGUGGAGCAGCACUAUGGGAAGCUGGCCCUCAAGCUCAACUUCCUCAAGCAACCAUUCAGCUAA